AGUAAGUCCAGGCUUGAAAAUGGGCUGAGAGUUAUGCUUGAAGCAUAACAACAUAUCAGAAGCAGGCUGCUUUGGUUCUUCAGGCUUUCUUCUGUAGAAAAUGGAACACCUUAAUGAAGAAAAAAGACAAGCUCCUUAAAGCAAGAAAAAGCGGGGAACAAAUCAUCAUGGAAAACCUCACCACCUCAAGCAUCUCUAAGCAAAGACUGAUCAAAACCUUACAACAGAUAUUCAUAGGCAAUGUAGACUGGAAGACAGACAAGAGACCCUCCUCUUCCUCCUUAGUGCUGUCAGGGUCUUGAUGGCACCCAUAGGGCCUUACUGCUCUGGAAAGUGAAAGACAUCUGAGAGUUACACUGUUCAACACCUUACUAGAAGUACCAGAUGUUAACUGGUCAAACCAUUGUCAUGAGGGAGAUAUGUAAAUGAUAUUUUAGGAAAAUUGUUCAUCUUUCAAAGAUUAGAAUUAGAUAAUAUUAUAGUGAAAUCUACAGUUGAAGGCAGUCAACAAUAUGCAGCUAAGUAUGUACGACUGAACCACCUUCUCUGUUUUUGUCUUAAAGCAAAUGCAGAAAUAAAGGUAAAUAUGGUAAUAUAGGU